CUCUCUGUAGCUCAGUUGGUUAGAGCGCUGCACCGGAAUCGCAGGGCCGUAGGUUCAAUUCCUGCCAGAGGAC
rnacentral:tRNA from 1 species